GUCCGCGCUGCAGGGAAGACGAGAGCGCCCUCGAGCAUAAGCAGAGGGGACCCUGGUUGGUCUGCACGGGCUAUGGAAGCGUGUGUGCUGGUCGGAGUGGGGAUUGCAUGUAUGGAAGUAGUGACGCUUUUGCGUUGUGUGCAAAAACUUUGUCGACUGCAAUGGUUUUUAAACUAUUGGCUUAAAAUGACGGGUUUUAAAUGUAUUUUUUCAUAAAUAUAUUGAAAAACCGCCAGUCAUAUAUAUUUAUAGGAAGAUAUAUAUUUUAUAUAUAGAUAUAUUUAAAAACCAUCAGUUGGUAAAUGGCUCUAAUGACAAAUUUGGGGUACCAUAUAUUAAAACUGGUUUGCUGUGCAGAUGAUCUAAAAAGGUUUGAGAAUUGCUUUGAAUACCCUGGAUUCACAGGAAAGCUAUGUAGAUAUAAAGUAUGAAGAUUCUUUAGCGGGAGCGUGGGAUCCUGCAGUGUUGCAGUGCUAGUUCUCUGGCAUUGAGCAGGGAUUCAGACAAGAGUGCCCUGUUUGAGAGAGAGCAGAUACUGGAGUAAGUCUCCACGAGCUGCACUUUCUUCAGAGUAAACAGACAGGCAACUGCCGUGAGCAAGACUGGUCUGAAACUACCACCCCAUUCAGAUCUCGACUCUGCAGGGAACUCACCAAAGACUUCAGGAUCCUUGUAAGCAUUACGGCCGGAUGAUGUGUGUGGAGCGUUGCCAUGACAAGUGCAGUGUGACAGCCAGGCAAGUUUUGGAGGAAAGGGCGAGAGCUGGAGGCUUCUGGCAGCCUGGCGCCUUGGACUUCAGAAGCUAGGCGCUGUGCUUUGUAAGCUCUGUGUUGGGGCAGGCCGUGGCACACACUGGCCUGGCUGCAGGGGAGCAGAGCUGCCGGCCAGCACAUCCUUCAGGCAUGGAGCUGGGGAAGGGUGGCCCGUUCCGUCUAGCAUCCUGCCAGCCGCUUCCAGGAAGCGUAGAGGGCGGGCCCCAAGGAACUCCCCUCAUGUGCUAUUGCUGCCCUAGCAACACGUAUUUUGAUGCACACUGUGCCUGGAUGCGUUAAGUUCGCUUAACUGACCUGGCUAACGACCCACAUUCUCCAUAAAUUUGAUUAACCUUUUGAAAGAAAACCAAGAGCCAAACUGGAUUGGACAUGAUUGGAUCCCCAGAAGACUUUUUCAGAGCUAAAGAGAAGCAGCAGAAUACCAAUCUGAAUCCAGACUGCAGCUUUCAUGGAGUUUUUUAUUCCCCUUUCCCCAGGCAUUUUUUAAAAUCAAGAUUUUCCCCGUCCAAUUGCUCUUUGCCCCAUUGGUGCACAUGGGUACAUUGAUAAAGCAAACCAAAACCACACACACACACACACACGGAAACAGUUUUGGUGUGAGUGCAUGCAACACUGCAUCAGGAGUCUCCCUGUGUUGUGUUCUACUGAUGGUGCGACAUGAGCUUCUGCACAAUGGUAAAAUACCGUGACCCACACACCUUUCUGUAGCUGUGUAUACAAUCACAUUAAGGCUGCUUUUCAGCAAUAUUCUACCCAUGCCUAUUGGAUGCAACUGGUGAUUUAAAGGGGAAAGGGCCGACACGUGCAUGGCAGGAACUGAAUGAUAUGGUAAACUGCAUCUGCGGUGCUUUGUACAAAAUGUGUAAAUUAAAAACAAAAAUGGAAUCAUGGGGAAUGACUAUCUGCAUUAAUUUUACUUUGAUCAUUACUCCAACUAUAUGGCAAAAUCUGGAUGAGGAAAUUUGCACUAAUUUGAGAUCAGAAUGACUCCUGAUGCAUUACUCUGGGUUAAUUAUGUUGCCCCUCUUUUGCAUACCUGGAGCAAAUCACAGUAAUUUCUGUUCAUUUUGAUUGGAACAAAACAAUGGAAUUAAAUGUUAGCAGACAGUGUUUUGUUGCGUUGCGACAUUUAUAGCCACAUGUAACUACUAAUUAUUUGAAAAUUAAACUCAUUGUGUCCUUGAUAGGAUUUUGUGGAGUCAAAUGGCAGAGUGAUCAAAAGAAACUUACUCCUGGGAGAAAGAGCACUUUGCUUCCCAUGUGUGAAAAAUGAAAACAGGGAAAUUAAAACAAGAGCAGAAACUGUGUACACAAAGAAGGUGGAACUGUAGAGUUCCCACAUUCCAUUUGCUCACAUUACUGGGGUGAAAGUAGUCCUAGGUUCUCUUCCUUUCUCAUCUGGGUUCUGUAAGCUUGUAUUUUCUCUCUGCUUUCCUUGCCUCAUGAAUUCCAGUUUAAAUAGCAUUUCUAAAACCAAUUCUAGAAUUGGAGCAUGUACAAAUAGAGACAGUUUAUUUUAUUUGCAUAAUUUCAACCCCAGACAGCGAGACACACACUGGGUGCACCAGGAAAAAAACCUGCAAGAAACCAAAGCAAAUGUAGCAAUAUGUAUGAUUACAUCCAUAAUCUUUUGCGUCAUUUUUUACUGAAGUGCAUAUAUGCCCUUGUAUGCAGCUCACAGAUAAAAAUGCUUGUCAUAAAGCCACAGCUGUAUGUCAAACUUGUUUAUUUGGAAGCAGGGGUGUGUUGUGGUUUUAUCAACCGGCACACAUGCCUCAAUAAAAACACGCAAACAGAA